GGGGAAUAUUGGACAAUGGGCGCAAGCCUGAUCCAGCCAUGCCGCGUGAGUGAUGACGGCCCUAGGGUUGUAAAGCUCUUUUACCCGGGAAGAUAAUGACGGUACCGGGAGAAUAAGCCCCGGCUAACUUCGUGCCAGCAGCCGCGGUAAUACGAAGGGGGCUAGCGUUGUUCGGAAUUACUGGGCGUAAAGCGCACGUAGGCGGAAAUUUAAGUCAGGGGUGAAAUCCCGAGGCUCAACCUCGGAACUGCCUUUGAUACUGGGUUUCUUGAGUCCGGAAGAGGUGAGUGGAACUGCGAGUGUAGAGGUGAAAUUCGUAGAUAUUCGCAAGAACACCGGUGGCGAAGGCGGCGACCUGGUCCUUGACUGACGCUGAGGCGCGAAAGCGUGGGGAGCAAAC
rnacentral:rRNA from 1 species